rnacentral:tRNA from 1 species
UGCGGGAUAGUUCAGCGGCAGAACGUCCGGCUCUGGACCGGAAGACCGAGGUUCGAAUCCUCGUCCCGCAG